rnacentral:misc_RNA from 1 species
AUUUUCUUUUACUUUUUUUUACGAAUUUACCCAAUAAAAAAUAUAAAACAAAAAGUUCUUUUAUUGCCUUUGAUCUUUUGAAGUUGAUAAAUAAUACGUAAAAAACACUUGACUCAAAAACUUCGUUCGGAAGAUUCCUCGCAAUUCACGUAAAGUUUCAGGUUUCAGCUAUGCAGCCCCACAACUCGACUUAAACUUCGUCUUGCAAUCGUGCAAAACUUUCGAUACAGAGAGCAGA